ACCUGGUUGAUUCUGCCAGUAGUGAUACGCUGUCAUUAAGGACUAAGCCAUGCAUGUGUAAGUAUAAGAA
rnacentral:rRNA from 1 species